UACGAAGGGUGCAAGCGUUACUCGGAAUUACUGGGCGUAAAGCGUGCGUAGGUGGUUCGUUAAGUCUGUCGUGAAAGCCCCGGGCUCAACCUGGGAAUGGCGAUGGAUACUGGCGGGCUAGAGUGCGGUAGAGGGUGGUGGAAUUCCCGGUGUAGCAGUGAAAUGCGUAGAUAUGUGGAGGAAUACCGAUGGCGAAGGCAGCCCCCUGGGAUAACACUGACGCUCAUGCACGAAAGCGUGGGGAGCAAACAGG
rnacentral:rRNA from 1 species